rnacentral:rRNA from 1 species
UGGGUAACCUGCCUCAAAGAGGGGAAUAGCCUCCCGAAAGGGAGAUUAAUACCGCAUAAUAUGUUUAGGUCGCAUGACUUUAACAUCAAAGGAUUUUCUUUUAAGAAAUUCCACUUUGAGAUGGACCCGCGGCGCAUUAGCUAGUUGGUGAGGUAACGGCUCACCAAGGCAACGACGGGUAGCUGGUCUGAGAGGAUGGCCAGCCACAUUGGGACUGAGACACGGCCCAGACUCCGUAGGG